UGCCUAGUAACGGCGAGUGAACAGGCAAGAGCUCAGAUUUGAAAGGCACUUUUGUGCCGUUGUAUUCUGAAGUUAGGGUCCUGAGAAACGAUGCUUAAGUCUUCUGGAAAGGAGCGCCAUGGAGGGUGAUAGCCCCGUCUAGCAUUGACCUCAUAUAGGAUCUUAACAUGGAGUCGAGUUGUUUGGGAAUGCAGCUCAAAUGGGUGGUAUGCUCCAUCUAAAGCUAAAUAUCUGCGAGAGACCGAUAGUAAACAAGUACUGUGAGGGAAAGAUGAAAAGAACUUUGAAAAGAGAGUGAAAAAGUACGUGAAAUUGUUGAAAUGGAAGGGUAGGCCGCUAACCAUGUAGAGCCGUGUUUGGGGGGAAGAUAAAUGCUGUAGAAUGUAGCUCCUCGGAGUAUUAUAGAUGCAGUUCAUAUUCCCACCCGAGCGCGAGGAUCUCAGGUUCUACUAAAUGGUGGUCUACCACCCGUCUUGAAACACGGACCAUUU
rnacentral:rRNA from 1 species